AAUGGUGGGUAAUACUGUAUAAUCCCCGAGGGGGAAAGAUUUAUCGCUAUUAGAUGAGCCUACGUUAGAUUAGCUAGUUGGUGAGGUAAUGGCUUACCAAGGCUAUGAUCUAUAGCUGGUCUGAGAGGACGAUCAGCCACACUGGAACUGAGAUACGGUCCAGACUCCUACGGGAGGCAGCAGUGGGGAAUAUUGGACAAUGGGCGAAAGCCUGAUCCAGCUAUGCCGC
rnacentral:rRNA from 1 species